ensembl:lncRNA
GGGAGAGACCGAGAGAGGAGGCGAGAGAGGAGGCUGGGGCUGCAGCAGCAGUCUGCUGGACUCGGGACUCAGCGAGCCACCACCUGCUGCUCUGAAUUCAGGGGCUGCAGAUGGGGUUUCUUCUUUCUCUCCCAGCUAUGGUGGUGGCUGAGCUCUGACAGAGCUGAGGAAAGAGCAUCAUGCACAGAAGACCAGUGACAACACACGAUGUCUGCUUUCCCAGUCUGACUACCUGGAUUUAGUGUGGUUGUCUCCCUGUCCACCGACGGCACUGCGAGUGACAUCAUUUUCUUCUGGUGUUUGCUGAGUCGUAGUCCACCAAGUAUAUGCAGCACGUGUUUUUAUCUGUUCAUCCGUGGAUGGAUAUUUUUAUUUUGUCCACGCCUUGGAUAUUGUAAGCACUGCCCCACCAUCCGCUACAGUAGUGUUGUAUUUUUAAAGGAAUUUUAUCUCCAAAUAUACGCCCACCCAAGAGUGGG